rnacentral:rRNA from 1 species
UACGAAGGGGGCUAGCGUUGCUCGGAAUCACUGGGCGUAAAGGGUGCGUAGGCGGGUCUUUUAAGUCAGGGGUGAAAUCCUGGAGCUCAACUCCAGAACUGCCUUUGAUACUGAGGAUCUUGAGUCCGGGAGAGGUGAGUGGAACUGCGAGUGUAGAGGUGAAAUUCGUAGAUAUUCGCAAGAACACCAGUGGCGAAGGCGGCUCACUGGCCCGGUACUGACGCUAAGGCACGAAAGCGUGGGGGAGCCAAACAGGG